rnacentral:lncRNA from 1 species
GGAGCAGGCUAUAUGACAUUUCAGACUGACACAUAGUUUUCACAACAUGCCCACACACCUAAUAUAAUAGUCAUAUUAUCUAAAUUUAUGAGGAAGACCUUUUCCUUAAAACCGUUGUGUGUGUGUGAAAAAAAGGUGUUGACCUUUAAAUUUCAGAUCGGACCUCAUCCAGAAACUAAGGCAGGUCACUACUGUGAAAUGAGAUUGAAACUGUGUGACCAUAUCUUGUUGACAAGGUCUUUUUAUAAGUACCUCAAACAAAUUAUUGUGUGAAUAGGAAGGAAAUAAGAGAAAUUUUGAAUAUGAGUAGAUAUAAAAAUAUACAAUAUAAUUUUUUCCUAA